UACAGAGGUCUCAAGCGUUGUUCGGAUUCAUUGGGCGUAAAGGGUGCGUAGGUGGCGGGGUAAGUCAGGUGUGAAAUUCCUGGGCUCAACCUGGGGGCUGCGUUUGAUACGUGCAGACUAGAGUGCGGAAGAGGGUCGUGGAAUUCCCAGUGUAGAGGUGAAAUUCGUAGAUAUUGGGAAGAACACCGGUGGCGAAGGCGGCGACCUGGUCCGAUACUGACGCUGAGGCGCGAAAGCGUGGGGAGCAAACAGG
rnacentral:rRNA from 1 species